rnacentral:rRNA from 1 species
CCUACGGGAGGCAGCAGUGGGGAAUAUUGCACAAUGGGCGCAAGCCUGAUGCAGCCAUGCCGCGUGUAUGAAGAAGGCCUUAGGGUUGUAAAGUACUUUCAGCGGGGAGGAAGGUGAUAAGGUUAAUACCCUUGUCAAUUGACGUUACCCGCAGAAGAAGCACCGGCUAACUCCGUGCCAGCAGCCGCGGUAAU